ensembl:lncRNA
GCCACCAGUUAAACCGGAACACCAGUGUGAAAUCUUUUGCUUUGGACUUUGGCAUUUUAGAGAAAUCAGUGUUUAAGGCCGUGGAAUGAAUGAUCAGGUAGUCUGAGUUCUUUAGAGAAAUGUAUUACAUUUAUUGGAACAAAAAAUAUUAACCAAAAUAUUUGAUCCUUAUAACAUAAAGGAAAACUAAAAUCAAAAUAACCUUGUAAAAUAAAGUGACUCAAAACGUGGUCAGAAAAAAUAAUGCAACCAUCAUAACUCAAUCCCCCAUUUACCAAACAAACAAAUAAGUAUAAAGCACGAUUUAUAGCGUUAUUUUAGUACUUAAUGGCAUAAAAAAAUAUCAAUAUAAAAAUAGGCAUAAAAAUAUCAACAUUCAGAAAUGUUUUAAGAAAAUAAGAAAAUUACUUUUCGACGACAAAACUGUACACUGCAUCAGUUGCAGCCAUUACAUUAAUUAAUUAAUUAAUUAAUUAAUUAAUUAAUUAAUUAAAGAUGCAUCUAUAAAAGAGAUGUGAGAUAUGGUAUAUUAAUAUAGGCAGCUUCCAUGCGUUUAUAUAGACAAUUUUCUUCAUUUAGGCAGGUAUGACAAAAAAAACGACUUAUGUCAUUGUCACUGCAAAGUGUUAUGUCCUUUGUGAUAUUCAGAGUAAAAGAUAUCGUUGGGGCUGGGUGGAAUAGCUAAACGGAAUAUCAGCGUAUUCCGACAACACUGAGCACACACACACUACGAUGGAGAGAGAGGAGGAGAGAUUAGGAGAUAUGGUUUAUAGUGUAGUUUUCUCCUCUUUGUUGGCCUUGCCUUCAAAGGCUGCGAUGUCUCCUUAAUGCUCCUUGCUCAGUUCUCUCACCAAACAUAGCGGUUGGUGUCUCUACGAUGUUUUUUCUACAAGACAACACACUCAGCAUACAAGUUACAUUUUAGUUAUAGUAAGGUAGAAUACACAAUUUAGCAUAAGGGGUGUGUCUGUGGUCUGGUUCAAGGUGUAAAUUGGGGGCAUGAUAGGCAUGGGGUUUACCUAUAUAUGAAAAGGUGUGAAUGUCAGCAGACAGAGAGGGUCUUGCUGACCAUUUUUGUGUUAAUGAAGGUGGCGUGAAUGUGAUACAUUCUUGUGGAGGAGGAAUUCAUAUUUCUUAGGAGUGUCUAAAAAUGUACCUAAGAGAGCAUCACUGUAGACCUGUGGUGCGUUUUGUAGGUACUUUGGGAUAGUAAUGUGUGUACUAGUGUUAUAGUCGAGUCACUAAACCUCGAGUUCGAGUCAAGUCUCGAGUCCCCAGAGUCCCAGUCGAGUCUCCAUUACCCGAGUCUAUCUCGAGUCCCCAUUACCUGAGUUCCAGUCCCUGUCAUCAAUAAACUAUUAGAUGGAUUAAUCCGGAAUAAAGAAAAAGUGCUGUACAUUGAAUAAAGCUAAUUUAAGUAUCUUUUGUUUGUCAUUAAUGUGUGGUGAACAUUUUCUUUAAAAAAAAUUAUGGACUGCCACUGAUAACAGCUUGCAAAAACGCUAACUGGCGUCUCCUGGCAACACAGUAGAAAAUGUCUUGCCGUGAAAGCUUUUCCUUAAUUUCCACGGGGUAUUACAGUACUACAUAGUGCAAAUCCUGGGUUGCUGGUGGAAUGUGUUGAACUGUCGUCAUGUGACCAUAUACCAUCACAAAGUGGCAAAUGGUUGCAUGGUGUUGCUCUAAACGCACUCUGUGUUCAAUUAAUUAGCACCUUUCUGGUCCUCGAAACACUCUUCCAUGUUCAAACUAGAAAUAGUCCUCUUUGCAAUCUACCCCACUGAUUGUAAUAUUCACAGGUCGGCCCUGGUAAACUCCCUGGGGUGCUGGGGUUUUGAUC